rnacentral:rRNA from 1 species
ACUGGCAGCUAGCUCUCUGCAACUCUCACAUGGUCGCUGAAGCUAAGCAGGGCUGCGCCCGGUCAGUACCUGGAUGGGAGACCACUUGGGAAAGCUAGGUUGCUGCCGGAA